rnacentral:misc_RNA from 1 species
AAAGUGCGACAAGUGUCACGACUUGCAGAUUCCCGGGAGCUGACAACUUUCUGAAUGCAGAUUGCGGCCCGACAAUCUCAGCCGUCGGCCAUGUGCUGCAGAGUGUUGUUGCCUUGUGCAAUCCAUCUUUUUGGUCUCCCAAAAAGAAUUCGAAGUUGAGCGGCCUGUGCGACUCGGGGGCGCGCGCUCAGCUUUGAGAUUUGCGCAAGCUCGCCCGUCCAAAAGACGAGCCUGCCUUGAAUGUCUCAUUCGCGGCAGAGCACAGAGCAAACGCGCCACACCUUUUUUUGCUGACCUCUGCGGCAUAAGAAAACCCGCUGAACUUAA